rnacentral:rRNA from 1 species
UACAGAGGUCCCAAGCGUUGUUCGGAUUCACUGGGCGUAAAGGGUGCGUAGGUGGUGGGGUAAGUCGGAUGUGAAAUCUCCGAGCUCAACUCGGAAACUGCAUUGGAAACUACCCUGCUAGAGGGUCGGAGGGGGGACUGGAAUACUUGGUGUAGCAGUGAAAUGCGUAGAUAUCAAGUGGAACACCAGUGGCGAAGGCGAGUCCCUGGACGACUCCUGACACUGAGGCACGAAAGCUAGGGGAGCAAAUGGG